GAUGAACGCUGGCGGCGUGCCUAAUACAUGCAAGUCGAGCGAACAGACGAGGAGCUUACUCCUCUGACGUUAGCGGCGGACGGGUGAGUAACACGUGGAUAACCUACCUAUAAGACUGGGAUAACUUCGGGAAACCGGAGCUAAUACCGGAUAAUAUAUUGAACCGCAUGGUUCAAUAGUGAAAGACGGUUUUGCUGUCACUUAUAGAUGGAUCCGCGCCGCAUUAGCUAGUUGGUAAGGUAACGGCUUACCAAGGCAACGAUGCGUAGCCGACCUGAGAGGGUGAUCGGCCACACUGGAACUGAGACACGGUCCAGACUCCUACGGGAGGCAGCAGUAGGGAAUCUUCCGCAAUGGGCGAAAGCCUGACGGAGCAACGCCGCGUGAGUGAUGAAGGUCUUCGGAUCGUAAAACUCUGUUAUUAGGGAAGAACAAAUGUGUAAGUAACUAUGCACGUCUUGGCGGUACCUAAUCAGAAAGCCACGGCUAACUACGUG
rnacentral:rRNA from 1 species